rnacentral:lncRNA from 1 species
CCAGGAGAUCCUGAACUACAUCAGCAGGAAAGAGUUUGAGCCCCUCCUCAGGGUGGACCAGCUCAACCUGGAGCGGGAGAAGCACAAGGUCUUCCUUCGAUUCAGUGAGGAGGAGAUCUCCUUCCCACCCACCUACCGCUAUGAGCGGGGUUCCCGGGACACAUAUGCCUGGCACAAGCAGAAGCCAACUGGGGUCCGGACCAAUGUGCCCUCAUGGUGUGACCGGAUUCUGUGGAAAUCCUACCCUGAAACUCACAUCAUCUGCAAUUCUUAUGGUCAGAGCCUCCCG